rnacentral:lncRNA from 1 species
CGGAAGUUCACAUCAACUUUAUCAGUCAGUGCAUUCACAGGCAAGGACAUGAAAUGAAUAAACUAGAAAGUGUACAGAUAAUGAAACAUGAGUUAACCUGGCUGUAUUUUUGUUGGAAUCAGAUAUUCACCUUGCCCAAGGAUACUUUGAUCUAUCCUGCUCAUGAUUAGAAGGGAUUCACUGUAUGGAGCCAUUUCUUACCUCUGUUAUAUAUCUGAUUUGUCCAGCUGAUCAUGCUAACCUUUGUGUGACGCACAGGUUAGUACUGUUGGAGAGGAAAUGCUGUACANNNNNNNNNNNNNNNNNNNNNNNNNNNNNNNNNNNNNNNNNNNNNNNNNNNNNNNNNNNNNNNNNNNNNNNNNNNNNNNNNNNNNNNNNNNNNNNNNNNNNNNNNNNNNNNNNNNNNNNNNNNNNNNNNNNNNNNNNNNNNNNNNNNNNNNNNNNNNNNNNNNNNNNNNNNNNNNNNNNNNUAGGCAACACCUAUCAAAAUACCUUCAAGACAAACCAACGUGUAACCUAAUGGAAUUGUGCGAUUUAGUCGGGCUUUUCUUUCUUUCCUUUUUGAUAUAUGUUAUAAAUGGCAGAAGUGACAACAUAAUACACGCUCAAAUUACAGGUUCUGUAAAAUGAACCUUAAUAUGGCAGAUUUCAUUAAUUGCAGUAACUCUUGUAUAUUUGAGAGUUUCUACAUAGAAUAAGUGCAAAGUGGAUGGCCUUAAGACAGUGCCAUACCUCAACCAUAAGUUAAUUUUAACCAUUCUAAUGCUUAACUUUCCAAGCUUACAAGCAAUACAUGCUUGCUGCCUAUCUUAAUCUUACUUGUAGGAUAAGUAUAAAAUAAACUAAUAUGAAGUUCUAUAAAGUGAAAAAUUAGUGAUGGUUGUACAAUAUUCUAUUGUGCUCAUCUGAGGUGUAUCUUUGGAAGAGUUUUCUUCUCUCCUUUGAAUAUUGUUUUGUGGCAUCAAGAUCAAUGUGUGAUAAUCAAAUCAAUAAUGAUAAGGUUAAGGAUGGAAGUUUAAAGCUAGCUAUUCUUAAAAUAGAACACAAAACCGAAUAGGAGCACAGAUAAAAUAAUAGAGGUUGCAUACACAGCUGAGUUUCGUGGUUAUGAUGAAUCAAAGAAUGAAGUAUUGGAAGCUAUUUGGAUGAUUUUUUAGUGCUCAUAAACUUGGUGACUUCAAGGAAAUAAUGUAGUUUAUAAAUUUUCUUUGGUUGCUGGGAUAAGGAAAGAUUGACUUGCAUCUUCUUUAACUCCAACUAUUAAUCCUAGAUUAUGAAAUUUCAUAUUUUCUAGUAUAAUUUUUUUUUUUGUUUUUUUUGGUAAGAAAUAUCAAGAGUUGGUUGCUUCAUCUAACUUCCAAGGAACCCCUUUCCUUUGCUGCUAAAAUUAUUUGCCACAAAUGACUGUUGAACCUUAAUCUAACAACAAUCUUUAUCGGCAGAAUAAAGAUAACACUACAAUCUUUAUAGCCUAAUGUUCUGCACACUUCUUUUUUCUCUUAAAACAAGUUACAAAUAUCCAAUUUUUGCUAAAUACCCAGUUCUUUUAUUUCAGCGUACAUAUGCAGAUUUAAAAUAUCCAGGAUAGGCUGACAGAAUUAAGACUCUGAAGAUUUUAGGAUAUUUGAGAUGAUUCGGCCAUUCUUCAAUUACUUUGCACAAAAAAGCUAUAUUACAAAAGCUAAUAACAUGAAUGGUACCUCCAGAAACAAAUCGCCGAAAUGUAUUUUAUCACCAGCUUGAAUGAGAAGAUCAGCUUUUGAAUUGCUAGCUUUUGAAAUAAUAGAUUUCACGCCAGGAAGCUUUGUCUGCAAAUUGAGCAUAAAAACUGAUGAAACAUUUGCGUUUAUAAAUGUAAUUUGCAAAUUAAAUGCAGCCAAACCUUUAUCAAUCCAGUUCCCGUCACAUGAUCAGCAUGCACAUGAGUAUUUAUAGCAUAAAUUUGCUUUAACCCUAACUCUUUUACAAGGGAGAGGUCUCUGUCCACUGUUUUAUCAACUGGAUCAAUCAACUGCACAGAAAAGGUAAUCACACUCACAUAUAUAUAUAUAUAUAUAUCACAAGAAUAAAGAAAAAUUGAUGAUAAAAAAAAGAAAAACAGAAAACUAGAGCAGGUUUAUCAGGGUGAGCAACAUCAGCCAGCAAAUAGGUAUAAGUAGAGGACUCCUUCUCGAAAAGCUGGCGAAACAAGAGCUUGCUUGAGAGCCCAGAAGACGACGCCGCAUAAUUGCUCAUUGUGCAGAAUCUGGGCACUGCGUAUUACGACUUUGAAAAGGAUCAUGACAUCGAAAGAGAAAGUCGAAGUAUAUUUAAACGAAGCAUUGUUGUUAUGAUAUUCAAUUUGAUGGUGAAAAUCGGGCAGCACUUAGCUAAAUUGUGCUAUUAUUGAAAGUGAUUCGAUGUUAAACCUAUCGCCCGUGCCUCCACUCUUUUAUCUUCCUUAAGGGACAAAGACAAAAACGUUCAGGCCAACUUCAAGCAAUUUAUUUGUAUUAAAUUACUUGAAGUUCUCAGCAGAUUAAUGUGCAAAAAACAAUAUUGACACUGAAAAAUUUUUUCUCACUAAAUGAGAUUAAAUUUAAAAAUUUUAAAGCCUUAUAUAUUUAUUUAAAUAAUAUUUUAAAAAAAAUUAAAUUCUCAAAUGUCUAAUUAUCUUAUAUGUAAUUUUUAAAAAGUAUUUUUAAAAAAUUACGUAUUAUUAAAUCAUAAAAAUUUAAAUGAAAUUCAAUAAAUUUCAAAAUAAUAGAAUAAAAUAUCAAAUAAAAAGAGAGAAAUAUGUCUAAAUAACCAUUUUUUCUUUAAUUCAAACUUUAGCAUUGUAUAGCGAAUUAUGAAUUUGUUGGUUUGAACUAGAUUUUUUAUAUUGGAGGAGAGAAAAACCAGCAAUCAAAAGUUUGUGUAAUUAUGAAAUUAAUUAUUAAAAUUAGAAUUAUAAAAAUUUUUAAAAUAUAAUAAUGUAUAAAUAAUCCAAAUACGUGAAAAUCAUAGAAAAUAAUAUAUUUAAAAAAUUUUAUUUUAAUUUCAUUUUAUUUAACUAAAAGACUCUAAUAGUAAUUAUUUACCAUAUUUUAAAAAAUUCAAAAUAAAUUAGAAGAAUUUAAAUUUUAUUUUUAAUACUUAAAUUAAGAUUUCCAAUUUACCCACAAAACUAAGCCCCUAGAAAUGAUCAAAACCCCGUUUUUUACAACAAAACGCACCGUUUUGAUUUAGUCUAAAAUCCCUAAUUUCAUCUCUCCCCUUUUUCUUCUCCAUCUUGUUCCUUCUCGAUAAUAACUUGUAUGCAGUCACCAAAUCCCUAUUCUCAUCGUCCCUUCUUAUUGAUCUUGGCCAUUUCUCACAACUUCCUCUCAUGAUAUCUAUUUUCCUAGCCUACUUCAAUUUAUGAUGUUUUAAGCUAUUGAAUCGAUUAUGAAGAAAUGUGAUUGUUGAAUUAUUGAUUCCUUCUUGAAAUAGAUUGCAUUUACAGGAGUUGUUUAUCCAUGCUUGGUUCUUGCUUAUAUGGGUGGAGAUGCUUAUCUUUCCAAGCAGAAAGACGAUCUUCAAAGAAGUUUUUACAAUGCUAUACCAGUUAAGUACUAAAGAAUUGAUAUAUAGUAGUUGAGUUAUCCAUUUGGUGCUUUCUCUUAUAUUUCUUCCUUCUUCUUUACUUCUUUUCGAGGUCAUAUUUUGGCCAGUAUACUUUUAACUAUCAAAAUUUUAAAAUAUGAUCGCUUAGUGACUCAUGUAAAAUCCAGAUUGUAAAUGAGGGUAGGAUAUGCUUACAGAGGAUCCAAUGUUGACUCAACCAGUUUUGGGUAGGUCGUAUAAUGUGUAUAGAUAUCAAUAGAAUGAGUAGGGAUAAUUAGUUAAUAUCUGGCACCAUCCAUAAGGGUAUACAAUCAUACCUAACAGAUAAGAUAGAUACCAUGGGCUAAUGUUCAGCAUACCCUAAUGUAAUGUUGAAAAUAUUAUGACCAUCCAGGCUAUUCAUACCCAAAUAUAUUGAUGCAUGGGUGUAGAUUUAUCGUAGCCAUGGAAAAUUUUUCAGGUGAAUAUCAUAACUUCCACCUGGCCCAUGGGACAUUGAAAUACGGGUUAUUAUAUCCAAUUGGUUGGAUAUGAUAAUUAUGUCAUCAACCAUACGGGUCAUACGACUAAUUGGUAUAUACAUACCCUUAGAUAAUAAGAUUCAUUCUUAUCCAAUUUAUUCAUAGAUAAUUGGAUAUAAUAACCCAUAUACAUCAANNNNNNNNNNNNNNNNNNNNNNNNNNNNNNNNNNNNNNNNNNNNNNNNNNNNNNNNNNNNNNNNNNNNNNNNNNNNNNNNNNAUCUAGGAUAGGUAUACCUAGAAUAUACCUAUAAGUAUGAUAUCACCAGUGAUUCUGCUGAGCUCAACCAGUAUUGAUAUAUCCAGGUACCAUAAGCGUAAUGGCUAUGUGUAUCAUACUAUUUCAUAUCAUAAUGGUUGGGUACGCAUAUUAGUUGGGGUGAUUAUAUGAAUGAUCAUCCUAAUAAGAUAGGGCGUAUAAUACUUAGUGGCCGGUUAAUAAUGGGGUAGUGACCUAUUAUUGGACAAUCCAGAUUGUCCUAGUAUCUACGUGUUUGAUUUGUCAUGUAUGAUCAUUGACCAUUGAAGUAGUGGAUCAAUGUCAUUUCUAUCUAAAUUAUACCUUUCUAAAAUUAUAGCUAUAGUCAAUAUUUUAUCAUCCAGUAUACCAAGUUAAUAUCAAGUCAGUUAAUGAUCAUAUAAUUAUCAUACCAAUGAUGUCUAGGGGCAAAUAUCCAUCCCUACUCACUCAAAAUAUAUAAUAUUGCUUAUAAGCUCAUUGUAUUCAGAUCAUGAUACAAAUUUUGUAGAUUAUAUCCUGCGUCUAUGUUCGUGCUUAUCAAUAUAGGAACAAUUUUGAUUUAGAUUGUACAAAGUUUGCGAUGCAUCAGAUUGUAAGUAAACACUAUCGGAUACAACUGUGGAUAGGUUUAGUCAAUACAUGCUUGGGUCAUUUGUCGAUUAAGUAUUAUAGAUGCAAGCAUCAUGUUCCUAAGUGGUUGUAUUAAUUAUGCUAAUAUAUGCCUAACUUGAUACCAUAUGUGUGUCCAUCUUAGCUAUUAGAAGAGAUCAGUUUUGACCAACUAAGUGUUUAGCUAGGUUAUAUCUAGUAAAUCAUUCUAAUGUAAAUGCAUAUGUCAUUUAUGGGGCAUCAUUGGAUUUGACCCUUAUUAAUAUCUAUAUAUAGGUACCUUGGACACAUCAUUGGACAUGAUGGAUCAAGUUAUAAUUCCCAAAUGUCAUGGAUAUGGGCAAUGCAUAUCUGCUAACCUUGAUUAAAUAUGCCCCAAUUCCAUCCUAGUAAUGGAAUUGAUGUGGCUAUAUUUCACUGGAUAUGCAUUCGACACUAUAUAGGUAGAAACAAUGCAUUUAAUUCAUACAUGAUAUAGAGCAAUAUGUAAAGGUACAAUAGUCUUAAUAAUCAUCUAUGCCAGCUGAUAUGAGUCCCUACUAUUAACCACAAUAUCAAUUAUUAGCACAAUCUAUUUUAUUCCUUAACCAGUGGUACUUUAUCAAUAUGGUUAUUCCUAUGCAUAUGUAUACAAUAAACUUCAUUCCUAUCUCAUGAUUAACUAAUGAAUAUUCCAAAUGGAAGAUUAACCAUCUUAAUGUAUACAUGUAUUUAAUGAUCAUUUAGGAAUAUUCCAGACCUAGUACCACACAUAGGAGUACCAACUAAAAAUUCCAUAUGCCUGUGGGUAUGCUUAUCACACUCAACCAGACUGGUAGUCUUUUUUAUGUCACCAAUAUGAGUUCUAAUUAUUUGGGUACCAACUUUCAGUUAGUUUAGCUCAAUGACUCCAAAUUAUAGACAUAUCAACCUUAACUAGGUCCAGUCAAGGACAUGAAAUGAAUAAACUAGAAAGUGUACAGAUAAUGAAACAUGAGUUAACCUGGCUGUAUUUUUGUUGGAAUCAGAUAUUCACCUUGCCCAAGGAUACUUUGAUCUAUCCUGCUCAUGAUUAGAAGGGAUUCACUGUAUGGAGCCAUUUCUUACCUCUGUUAUAUAUCUGAUUUGUCCAGCUGAUCAUGCUAACCUUUGUG